rnacentral:lncRNA from 1 species
UCAUAUGUAAAUGUUUUAUUAAAUGGAUCUAAAAGGAAAAUUCAUAUCAUUCCAUAUUCCCAUUUUAGCAAACCAAUUAUGACCCACUAUAAAGCAGGCGUUUGUUUCUAAAUAAACCCUAUACGGUCGAAUCCACCGGGAGAGAAAUUCCUCUGUGCCGAGAGUACGCGAGAAACUAGCACUUGUUUGCGUCGCCGAGCCCGGAGCCACAGGCACUCGCAAUUUGUGGCGCCGUGCUUCUUUUUCGAUCCCAAUGGUGAGCUCUGCUCUUGAUGAGUGUCCAAGGCUUUUUCCAUCUCACGUUAAUUUCUUGCCGUUAUUUCAUGUUAGGGGAAGUUUCUUUUUUUUUUUGAAUUGAUUUUGUUUUUUAGGGGAAUGGGUGAUGUUUUGGGACUAUGUUUUUGUUUUUCUUGCAAGACAUGUUUUCUUAACCCCAAUUUUUUGAGGCAAUGGCUGAACUUCAGACUUGGAUUUGAAAACCUUGGAGAUAUUAAGCUAAAAUUAAGGCCCCAAAGAAGAAGCCAAAGGAGUCAAAGUUAAGAAUGUUUGUAUGUUCGCUUCUUACUUUGGUGUUGCAUCUUGGAUACGAUGGUAUACAGCUUAUAUCUCACUUCCAUGGUAUAUUUGCUGAGUAAUCCAGACAUCCUAAGUUGCUAUCAAGUUCUUUGCUAUAUGUCCCACUUCUAUGGCGUAUCUAGCAACAUAUUCUUGUUUCUUAGCUCUCAAAUUACCCUUAUUUAGUAUACAAUUUUGUAUCUCACUUCCAUGGUGUAUUUACCGAGUGAUCCGGACAUCCUAAGUUGCUAUCAAGUUCUUUGCCAUAUGUCCCACUUCUAUGGUGUAUCUAGCAACAUAUUAUAGUUUUAGCUCUUAAACUGCAGUUAUUCUUCGAAACAGAAGGCUAAACAAAGCAGUGCUAUUUCUGUCUUUAUGAUUUCGAUAUCCAGAUGAAAUUAUU